UACGUAGGGUGCAAGCGUUGUCCGGAAUUAUUGGGCGUAAAGAGCUCGUAGGCGGUUUGUUGCGUCGGCUGUGAAAACCUGAGGCUCAACCUCAGGCCUGCAGUCGAUACGAGCAGACUAGAGUGUUGCAGGGGAGACUGGAAUUCCUGGUGUAGCGGUGAAAUGCGCAGAUAUCAGGAGGAACACCGGUGGCGAAGGCGGGUCUCUGGGCCGAUACUGACGCUGAGGAGCGAAAGCAUGGGGAGCGAACAGG
rnacentral:rRNA from 1 species